rnacentral:rRNA from 1 species
UACAGAGGGUGCGAGCGUUGUCCGGAAUCACUGGGCGUAAAGGGCGCGUAGGCGGUGGCUUAAGCGUGCGGUGAAAGCUCGGGGCUCAACUCCGAGUCGGCCGUGCGAACUGGGCUCACUGGAGCAUAGUAGAGGCAGGUGGAAUUCCGGGUGUAGCGGUGGAAUGCGUAGAGAUCCGGAAGAACACCGGUGGCGAAGGCGGCCUGCUGGGCUAUGGCUGACACUGAGGCGCGACAGCGUGGGGAGCAAACAGG